rnacentral:rRNA from 1 species
AGAUUGAACGCUGGCGGCAUGCCUUACACAUGCAAGUCGAACGGCAGCACGGGAGCAAUCCUGGUGGCGAGUGGCGAACGGGUGAGUAAUACAUCGGAACGUGCCCAAUCGUGGGGGAUAACGCAGCGAAAGCUGUGCUAAUACCGCAUAAGAUCUACGGAUGAAAGCAGGGGAUCGCAAGACCUUGCGCGAAUGGAGCGGCCGAUGGCAGAUUAGGUAGUUGGUGAGGUAAAGGCUCACCAAGCCUUCGAUCUGUAGCUGGUCUGAGAGGACGACCAGCCACACUGGGACUGAGACACGGCCCAGACUCCUACGGAGGCAGCAGUGGGGAAUUUUGGACAAUGGGCGAAGCUGAUCCAGCAUGCGCGUGCAGGAUGAAGGCCUCGGUUGUAACUGUCUUUGUACGGUAACGAAAAGUACUUUACUUAAUAAAGAAGACUACAGUAGAACGGUAACCGUAAGAAAUAAGACGAACCGAC